rnacentral:rRNA from 1 species
CAGUUCCUUUCUAAGAAUUAGCCAUGCAUGUCUAAGUACAAGCCGAUUUAAGGCGAAACCAAAUCAUGUCCCAGAGCGAAUGGCUCAUUAAAUCAGCUAUGAUUCAUUGGAUCUGUACCCACACUUACUUGGAUAACUGUGGUAAUUCUAGAGCUAAUACAUGCACCACGUCUCUGACCGCAAGGGAAGAGCGCUUUUAUUAGUUCAAAACCGGUCGGGCCUCGGUCCGUCACCCCACCGUGUUGAAUCUGAAUAACUUGUCGCUGAGCGCACGGUCUCCGCACCGGCGCCGCCUCUUUCAAGUGUCUGCCUUAUCAGCUUUCGAUUGUAGGUUAUACGCCUACAAUGGCUAUAACGGGUAACGGGGAAUCAGGGUUCGAUUCCGGAGAGGGAGCCUGAAAAACGGCUACCACAUCUAAGGAAGGCAGCAUGCACGCAAUUUACCCACUCCCGGCGCAAAAACAGGUUUGUGAUGCCCUUAGAGAUCAACGUGUCAUCCCCCUCCGAGAGGAGCGGGUAACCCGUUGAAAUCCUUUCAUGAUAGGGAUUGGGGUUUGCAAUUGUCUCCCAUGAACGAGGAAUUCCCAGUAAGCGCAAGUCAUGAGCUUGCGUUGAUUACGUCCCUGCCCUUUGUACACACCGCCCGUCGCUACUACCGAUUGAAUGAUUUAGUGAGGCCUUCGGACUGGCGCUCUUGGAUGCCUGGCCCAUGCGGUUCUGCUGGGCUCUCGGCGCCUCGAGCUGACGGAAAGAUGUCCAAACUUGAUCAUUUAGAGGAAGAAAAAUCGAAAAAAGUUACGGGG